rnacentral:rRNA from 1 species
CCUACGGGGGGCAGCAGUGAGGAAUAUUGGUCAAUGGGCGCAAGCCUGAACCAGCCAAGUCGCGUGAGGGAUGACGGUCCUAUGGAUUGUAAACCUCUUUUGUCGGGGAGCAAGGCCCGCCACGUGUGGCGGUAAGGAGAGUACCCGAAGAAAAAGCACGGGGUAACCCCGUGCCAGCAGCCGGGGUAAUACGGAGGAUGCGGGCGUUACCCGGUUUUAUGGGGUUUAAAGGGAGCGUAGGCGGACGGUUAAGUCAGCGGUAAAAUGUCGGUGCUCAACCCCGGCGGGCCGUUGAAACUGGUCUUCUUGAGUGAGCGAGAAGUAUGCGGAAUGCGUGGUGUAGCGGUGAAAUGCAUAGAUAUCACGCAGAACUCCGAUUGCGAAGGCAGCAUACCGGCGCUCAACUGACGCUGAGGCACGAAAGCGUGGGGAUCGAACAGGAUUAGAUACCCUGGUAGUC